UCCACCGACCCGUCUGCGUGCCUUCACACGUAGAACUGUGCAGCGACGCAGCUAGCUAUCUUGCUUGUUUUGAAGUUAGUUGGCGAGGUAACUUAGCCAGCUAGCUAAUAAAAACGAUUAGCCAGCUAGCUAAUUAAAGCGAUUAUAUAGGAACUUUUAAACUCCGUAACAAACCAGUUUGUCGUGAGGUUCGCUACUCUGAAGAAGACUGAUCGAAGCUGAGAUGAACCAAUUUGAACAUCUGAAAGAUGACGACCUAGAGGAUCAGGAUGAGACAGUCUGUAACCGGGAGGAAGACGGCUCCAUCAACAACAACCGACGCAAGACGGUGAUUCCUGCGCAGGGGAAACAUCCUCUACAGUAUA